rnacentral:rRNA from 1 species
UACGGGGGGAGCAAGCGUUGUUCGGAUUUACUGGGCGUAAAGGGCGCGUAGGCGGUCAGCACAAGUCAAUUGUGAAAUCUCCGAGCUUAACUCGGAAAGGUCAACUGAAACUGUGCGACUAGAGUGCGGAAGGGGCAACUGGAAUUCUUGGUGUAGCGGUGAAAUGCGUAGAUAUCGAGAGGAACACCUGCGGCGAAGGCGGGUUGCUGGGCCGACACUGACGCUGAUGCGCGAAAGCCAGGGGAGCGAAACGGG